rnacentral:rRNA from 1 species
UACGGAGGAUCCAAGCGUUAUCCGGAUUUAUUGGGUUUAAAGGGUGCGUAGGUGGGUUAGUAAGUCAGUGGUGAAAGCCUGCAGCUUAACUGCAGAACGGCCAUUGAUACUGCUGAUCUUGAGUAUAAUUGAGGUGGGCGGAAUGUGUCAUGUAGCGGUGAAAUGCUUAGAUAUGACACAGAACACCGAUUGCGAAGGCAGCUCGCUAAACUAUAACUGACACUGAGGCACGAAAGCGUGGGUAGCAAACAGG